UAUUCACGUACAGAACAAUUGCAGGAAUCUGCCUCUCAUAUCCUAAAUUGGACUUUUCCUUUGGAAGUGAAGACUGGCUCCCGUUUAUGACAAGAAACUGAACAGAGAAUACUGGUUGGAAGUUUAACUGACUCAAAAACAUCUUUUUGAUCACUACAAGUGUCAGCUUGUUAGAAAGCUGAGCUUGGCAAAAAAAGAAGGCCCCAUGGCCUUGGAAGAUUUUCGGAAGAUCUUUGACAAGGUGCCACACAUGAGUCUGCUUAACAAGUUGUUUUUACAGGAGGAACAUGAAAGGAGAGAUUGCAGUGUGAAAAGGCAAUUCUGAGGACAAACUAACGUAGAUGAGGGAUUGCAAGUGAGCUGUGUCACUGAAAAGAAGAAAGAAACAGAAACUUUGGAGUAAAGGCAUUUACAGGAGAACAGAGAAAUACAACAGAAUCGUGAAAAACCAUCCUCAAAGACUGACAAAUAACCAUGUUCAGAAGAAGACAAUCUGUGUAAAUAAAAACAAAAAAUACUGUGA